rnacentral:rRNA from 1 species
ACUACGGGUGGCAGCAGUGGGGAAUAUUGCACAAUGGGGGAAACCCUGAUGCAGCGACGCCGCGUGAAGGAAGAAGUAUUUCGGUAUGUAAACUUCUAUCAGCAGGGAAGAAAAUGACGGUACCUGACUAAGAAGCCCCGGCUAAUUACGUGCCAGCAGCCGCGGGAACACGUAGGGGGCAGGCGUUAUCCGGAUUUACUGGGUGUAAAGGGAGCUUAGGCGGUUUAGCAAGACAGAAGUGAAAGCCCGGGGCUCAAGUCAGGGACUGCUUUUGAAACGGUUGAACUAGAUUGCAGGAGAGGUAAGUGGACUUCCUGGGGUAGCGGUGAAAUGCGUAGAUAUUAGGAGGAACACCAGUGGCGAAGGCGGCUUACUGGACUGUAAAUGACGCUGAGGCUCGAAAGCGUGGGGAGCAAACAGGAUUAGAUACCCGAGUAGUC